rnacentral:rRNA from 1 species
UACGUAGGGUGCGAGCGUUAAUCGGAAUUACUGGGCGUAAAGCGUGCGCAGGCGGUUUUGUAAGCCAGAUGUGAAAUCCCCGGGCUUAACCUGGGAAUGGCAUUUGGGACUGCAAGGCUUGAGUGCGGCAGAGGAGACUGGAAUUCCUGGUGUAGCAGUGAAAUUCGUAGAUAUUCGGAAGAACACCAGUGGCGAAGGCGACUCACUGGACAUGUAUUGACGCUGAGGUGCGAAAGCGUGGGGAGCAAACAGG